GGAUUGACACAUCGGUCGUGCCUUAAGGGGUAUGAACUGGUGUAGUCAAUUUCUCACCUUCUGGAGAACCACGAUGCCCUUUAUUUGGUGUGAUGGGAAAUCAGGACUGUUACUUUGAAAAAAUUAGAGUGUUUAAAGCAGACUAUCGUCUGAAUACAUUAGCAUGGAAUAAUGAAAUAGGACGGACUGAUUCUAUUUCGUUGGUUUCUAGGAUCACCGUA
rnacentral:rRNA from 1 species